rfam:Triticum urartu cultivar G1812 contig50229, whole genome shotgun sequence.
AUUAUACUCCCUCCGUCCGAAAAUACUUGUCAUCAGAAUAAGCAAAAGGGGAUGUAUCUAGACGUAUUUUAGUUCUAGAUACAUCUCUUUUUAUCCAUUUUGAUGACAAGUAUUUUCGGACGGAGGAAGUAUGUU